AUAAUCUGUUAAUGAAGAGAGCUAUCCGUCGACAGUAUUGACACUAAACACUGUCAUGGAGUUGCUCUCUUUAUGAACGGAUGC
rnacentral:pre_miRNA from 1 species